ACCAGUUUGGCCGCCUCCCUUUGAUAUUGCAGAAAUCAGUUCAGGCCUCGUCUUUUUGACAUUGCAGAAAUCAGUUCGGGCCUUCUUUAUUUGAUAUUGCUGAAAUAAAUUCCUGUUUGUUUUGAUUUAAAUAAUAUGUGAGCUUCCUUCUUUUGAAAUCGCUAAAAUCAACUCCUGGCUUUUGUUCAUUAAAGCGGUUUAUAGCUUCCUUCGUUUGAAAUAUCUGAAAUCAGCUCCUUGCUUUUUUCAUUAACUCGGCUGCGAGCUUCCUUAGAUUCAGUUGCGGUCUCCCUUCAUUUGGGAUUUUACAGGCCAGUAUGAAAAUAAUACAACACGGCUGCCCAGUAAAUUCCCGCGUGAUCAGGAGAUAUAUUCGUUUAAGUCCAACAGUCCAAAGAGUCCAAUCCGUCAGGUAUUUUUUUUCUAAAUCAGCUUGAAUGUUUAGCAUUCUGUAGUAUAAGAUGUUUUCAUUUAAGUUGAAGAUCCGCUCGUGUCACUGGGGUGUCAAGUGUUCAACAAUCCUCGGUGUUAAUUUCAUGUGACCAGUACGGAUCAAACAUGUUCUUAUUACCGAACUGGUAGAUACUCCAUCUAACGUUUGCAACCAAUAAUUUUAUUCCGUCAAUGUAAAUACUUUUCAUUAUCACUGACCCCGUGCAUAAAAGUAUUCUUUUCUAUCUUGCUGUCAUUGUUUUUAUGUCGCUCAUGACGUUUUCCCAUUGCGAUCCUCUUCCAUGAUACACAAACGUUUCUGACGCUCCAUCACAAAGCCGCAUACUCGAGUAACCGUUAGUUGAUGUUGCGUAAUAUUUUACUUUUUAGGAAUGAAAACAUAAUUUUGGUCUAAAGAAAGAUUUUUUCCUGUUUAAAACCACCAACAUUUGCUUCCUGGUAGUAAUGAUUAAAAUCACCAAAAUCUACAUGAAAUACAAUGAACUAUCGAAAUAUCAUUUACAUUGAUUUUAUGUGAUAUAUCAACCAUUACGUCCGUGAUCAGUUUCUAUGAAACCCUUUUGAUGGGUGUGCGUGUCGGGUUAAAGUAACCAAUAUGAGAAUUGUCAUCUUGGAUUGUUAUUAUUUAUAAAUCCAAUACAAUUUAUUACUGAAAUUUACGAAAUACAAUGAAACAGGAUGUUAUUUGAUGUUAUAAUUUAGUAAAUAAUACAGUACACUUGCAAUUUGUUAUAUCAAGUUAUCGUUAAAUAAAUAAUGUUAUAGGCUACGAAAACGUGUUGAUAAACUAUUCUCUCCAAAAAUAUUUUUUUUUGUCUUUUGCUUUUAAUGAUUGCUGUUGAUUAUUUUGUUACUGUUUUUCGGGGUACUUGUAUAACAUGACUUUCCACCUAUAUAUUACGGCAAUCAAGGCAUAGAACGUUUGUGUGUCGAAAAUAUUAUCAGUUUUACUGAGUCUGUAAUGAAACUGCAUAACAGAAGACGCACAUUAAAUAGACGACAUUUAGUUUAAACAAUAUUUAUUUUCAUAAUAAAUUAAACACAAAGUCAAACAGUUUUGAAUAGCAAUAAACAAUAACAUGAACAGGUUUCUAGUCUAAGGAUUUGUAAUCAAGCCUAUAGAGGCUUAUAUUAAUACAGCCCCUUGAAAAUUUGUCUUACGAUGUUUAGUGUACGACUACUUAGGCAAACAAAUUUAGGGUUAGGGUUAGAGAAGAGAGAAAAAAUGAUGAGUAAAAAAAACAUCAAAGAAAAGAAUUGUAGGAUCACGUGAACAUUGCAAAAAGAUUGAAUGCUGAGUAUUACUCGUCAUCAGAAGACAACAUAAGUAAUUAAGUUCGUGAAUCAGACUUCUAUGUGAAUCGCCCAGUAGUGAGGAUGGAUUUAUGCACUAUUGAAAGAUUUUUCGACCCGUUUAUCAGGUUUUGGUACGUUACAGGACAAGGCAAAGUUGAAAAGAAUUUUUGUCUUUGAGCAGAGUGCCAAAGCUUACCGGAAACUACCAAGUACUUAUGAAUGGGUAGUGGGCUAACUGUAGUCCGACUGUUCGUGGGUCGAGAUACUGUGUUGGUGAAAGCGUAUUAGUUAAUGUGGAAUUCGGACCCAAUACAAAAACAUUUCAGAAUCAAGACAGAACGGCAACUGUUUAACUAAUUAUCACAGACAUGAUACAUAAUGUCUAAAUAUAUCGUGCUUAGAUUCUCUUCAGAACUGUGGUUUUUGUUAUCUAAAUUGUACCGUUUUCUUUGAUUGUAUUGUUUUAUUAUGUGGUUUCAUUUCAUCUGAUAUCAUGUUUUGCUUUAUUAUUGUAUUGGUGUCCAGAUUUGUUUAGCUCUAGGAUAUUACAUAUUUUUAAAUUAGUAAUUUGAUAUACUUGAUUCAUCAUUUAUUUAAGAUGGUUAUUUUUGUGUGUCCAGUUUUGUGUCAUUUCUCUGAUAUCAGAUAGUUUUCUAAACAGAGAUUAAAUAUAUCUGAUUAUUACAUUUUAUAUUUCAAUAUACACACGCCUGGCAUUUCUGGUCAUUGCCAAUCAACCAUACGUUUUUUUAGACUUGAAACAGACUAUAGUCAAAUAUAAAAACAAGCUUUAAUCAUAGUGUUUUUUCAAUGUCUUGAGCCCAUUUUUGUCCACUUCAGCAUGACGUAAGUUAAAUAAGAAAGUCAUCUUUCAACACUUGACUUAAGGAGGACUUUCCUAAUACAAAUAGUAGUUCACUUAUCAAGCAAUUGUCACUGUCCGUUUCUGCACUGCUCGCAACAUUUAGUCUUGAUUAAAUGCAUUUAAUGGACUGGACUACUGAUAGCUUGUAUGAAAUCUGCUUAUUCAUUAGUUGGAAGUGUAUAGAUUCUCCUCUUACCAGCCAAUAUACAUAUAACGUGUAUUAAAUAAUAUAUAUAAUAUCAUUUUAAAUGUAAAUGCGUCACCUAUCCAAUUCAAAUGUCGUAAUCAUAUUAGCGAAAUGUUCAAUUUUGAUUGACUAUUUAACACAUUUGACUGCUUAAUACAUUAAGACGUUGAUAAUCAGGCAAUAUUUUAACAACAAUAAAUAAUUCUGACAUUUCAAUUAACGUGUAAAACAUACAAGUGUGUAUAUAUGUUCUAAUGACCGGAUGCUGCAGCGAUAAUUCACCUAGCUGUAAUGAAAGUUUUAAAGUAUAAACGAUACAAUUUGUCAUUUAUCCAUUCUUUAUCAUUCUCUUUACUCCAUAUUCAUUAUAUAACGAGAACGACACAUGAACUAAAAUUCCCACUAAAAGAUUAUUUGAAAUCUUUCCAGAUGCCUGUUGUAUCAAUCUACCUCCGUCACUUUCAUUUAUUCUUGUUCUAGACCAUCCUUCCAUAUCCCGUUGACUAUCCUUUCUUAAUUACAGUAUAUUGUAUAUCAUAUAAACAUGUGAACGAUUGGUUUAUGAAAGGGGAAGUGUUAUUUCAUAAAUAGAAAUUCUAUUUUCAAUGUUUAGUGUAAGAAAUACUAAUACACUUCCAUUUAUGAAAGUUAAUGCAUCUCCACAUCUAUAUAAAAGAUAGAAACUCUGCAUGCAGGCAACCUAUGACUACAUACGUUCAGUGCAGUCUAGUAAGCAUGGUGGCCCAAUAAACUGAACUGAACUGAUGAAUAUCAACAGCAGGAUGGCCCAAUAAACUGAACUGAUGAACAUCAACAGUAGGGUGGCCCAAUAAAAUGAACUGAUGAACAUCAACAGCAGGGUGGCCCAAUAAACUGAACUGAUGAACAUCAACAGCAGGGUGGCCCAAUAAACUGAACUGAACUGAUGAACAUCAACAGCAGGGUGGCCCAAUAAACUGAACUGAACUGAUGAACAUCAACAGCAGGGUGGCCCAAUAAACUGAACUGAUGAACAGGGUGGCCCAAUAAACUGAACUGAACUGAUGAAUAUCAACAGCAGGGUGGCCUAAUAAACUGAACUGAUGAACGUCAACAGCAGGAUGGCCCAAUAAACUGAACUGAUGAACAUCAACAGCAGGGCAUCAUAAAAGUCUAGAAAAUGCAAAGGUUAUAAUAAAUUUAGAAUCUAAAGACAAAAUGCAGCUCAGCUUGACUACAUGUAUAUUCCAGUCAUACAUGUAGAGGAUAAAAAUAUCUGGCAGUUUGACCAAAUUAAAGAAAUGUAUUGUCGCAGUACCCUUUAGGAUGCGAGCAAUCUCGAGACCGGCAAACUGACAGCCGGAUAGGAUACUGGUGGCUCUUAGUCGCACGACGUCUAGACACAACGGCAUGCCAAUUUUUGUUCAAGAUUUGUAUAUCAAUACUUCUAUAAACUACAGUAAUAUAUGAAACCGCUGCUUUGAACAUAUUUUUGGAAAUAUUUGUACAAAUGUGUAUUAUUGUGUGAUAGGUAUAUUGUCAUGAGAAGUGUGUUAUAUUCACUUGUACACAAUAUAUUCAUAAAGUUUUAUGUCUGUAACCAUUAGUUAAUGUUUGGAUCGACCCUGUCGUCAACUCGUAUCUAUAUUUGUAUAUAAUCUCAAUGCCUUGAAAAUGACACUGCAAAAUGUAAUAUUAUACAAGUACGUAUUUUGACGACGCAAAAUACAUGUAGAAAACACAACUUAUCUCUAGCAAAACAUUACUCGUUUAUCAACUUGUGGUUAAAACGACAUUAAUUUGUCUGAGCUGUAGAUAUGUACGACUCUCAGGUGAUUAUUUUCAUGUUUUAAAUGAAUAGCUUUAAACAACAGCAUUUAUUUACUAAGUUUUAACGUUUUAUUUGUUGUAUAUGAACCACCUUUAAACCAACUAAAGUUGUAUCAAAAAGCGUGUUAUGUAACAUGUAUCAAUUUGAUUUUAAUAUAUUGCAUAUAAAAGAACAUUCAAGAUAUAUAUAAUAUAUAUUCAGUA
rnacentral:lncRNA from 1 species